GAACUUAAGCAUAUCAAUAAGCGGAGGAAAAGAAACUAACAAGGAUUCCCCUAGUAACUGCGAGUGAAGCGGGAAAAGCUCAAAUUUAAAAUCUGGCGUCCUCCGGGCGUCCGAGUUGUAAUCUGGAGAAGCGUUUUCCGCGUCGGACCGUGUACAAGUCUUCUGGAACGGAGCGUCAUAGAGGGUGAGAAUCCCGUCUCUGACACGGACUACCGAUGCUUUUGUGAUGCGCUCUCGAAGAGUCGAGUUGUUUGGGGAUGCAGCUCAAAAUGGGUGGUAAAUUCCAUCUAAAGCUAAAUAUUGGCCAGAGACCGAUAGCGAACAAGUACCGUGAGGGAAAGAUGAAAAGCACUUUGGAAAGAGAGUUAAACAGUACGUGAAAUUGUUGAAAGGGAAACGCUUGAAGUCAGUCGCGUUGGCCGAGACUCAGCCUGGCUUGCCUGGUGUACUUCUCGGUCGACGGGUCAGCAUCAGUUUUGACCGCUGGAUAAAGGUUGGAGGAAUGUGGCAUCUCUCGGGAUGUGUUAUAGCCUCCGAUUCGCAUACAGCGAUUGGGACUGAGGAACUCAGCACGCCUUUAUGGUCGGGGUUCGCCCACGUAACGUGCUUAGGAUGCUGGCAUAAUGGCUUUAAGCGACCCGUCUUGAAACACGGACCAAGGAGUCUAACAUGCCCGCGAGUGUUUGGGUGUUAAACCCGAGCGCGUAAUGAAAGUGAAAAUUGAGAUCCCUGUCGUGGGGAGCAUCGAUGCCCGGACCAGACCUUCUGUGACGGAUCUGCGGUAGAGCGUGUAUGUUGGGACCCGAAA
rnacentral:rRNA from 1 species